rnacentral:rRNA from 1 species
UACGUAGGGGGCUAGCGUUGUCCGGAAUCAUUGGGCGUAAAGCGCGUGUAGGCGGCCCGGUAAGUCCGCUGUGAAAGUCGGGGGCUCAACCCUCGGAUGCCGGUGGAUACUGUCGGGCUUGAGUGCGGAAGAGGCGAGUGGAAUUCCUGGUGUAGCGGUGAAAUGCGCAGAUAUCAGGAGGAACACCAAUUGCGAAGGCAGCUCGCUGGGACGUUACUGACGCUGAGACGCGAAAGCGUGGGGAGCAAACAGGG